GAUGAAGAACGCAGCGAAAUGCGAUAUGUAAUGUGAAUUGCAGAAUUCAGUGAAUCAUCGAAUCUUUGAACGCACCUUGCACCCUUUGGCAUUCCGAAGGGUAUGCUCGUUUGAGUGUCAUUGUACUCUCACACUCUCCGAUCCUAUGGAUUCGGGGAGCGGUGGACUUGGGUGUUGCUGCCUUUCCUUGUGGCUCACCUCAAAUGUGUCAGUGCACCUCUUGGUUGGACAUAGUACGGCGUGAUAAGUGUCUUCGCCGGCACCUCGCAAGAGGGUGGCCGAUCGGGAGCUCUGUGCUUUCAAACCGUCUUCGGACAAUUUCUGACAACUUGACCUCAAAUCGAGUAGGACUACCCGCUGAACUUAAGCAUAUCAAUAAGCGGAGGA
rnacentral:misc_RNA from 1 species